GAUGAACGCUGGCGGCGUGCUUAACACAUGCAAGUCGAACGGUGAAGGCGGAGCUUGCUCUGCUGGAUCAGUGGCGAACGGGUGAGUAACACGUGAGCAAUCUGCCCCUGACUCUGGGAUAAGCGCUGGAAACGGCGUCUAAUACUGGAUACGAGCUGCGAAGGCAUCUUCAGCAGCUGGAAAGAACUUCGGUCAGGGAUGAGCUCGCGGCCUAUCAGCUUGUUGGUGAGGUAACGGCUCACCAAGGCGUCGACGGGUAGCCGGCCUGAGAGGGUGACCGGCCACACUGGGACUGAGACACGGCCCAGACUCCUACGGGAGGCAGCAGUGGGGAAUAUUGCACAAUGGGCGGAAGCCUGAUGCAGCAACGCCGCGUGCGGGACGACGGCCUUCGGGUUGUAAACCUCUUUUAGCAGGGAAGAAGCGAGAGUGACGGUACCUGCAGAAAAAGCGCCGGCUAACUACGUG
rnacentral:rRNA from 1 species